rnacentral:rRNA from 1 species
CAUGGUUGUCGUCAGCUCGUGUCGUGAGAUGUUGGGUUAAGUCCCGCAACGAGCGCAACCCUCGACCUUAGUUGCCAGCAUUCAGUUGGGCACUCUAAGGUGACUGCCGGCUAAAAGUCGGAGGAAGGUGGGGAUGACGUCAAAUCAUCAUGCCCCUUAUGACCUGGGCUACACACGUGCUACAAUGGGCGGUACAAAGGGUCGCGAACCCGCGAGGGGGAGCCAAUCCCAAAAAGCCGCUCUCAGUUCGGAUUGCAGGCUGCAACUCGCCUGCAUGAAGCCGGAAUCGCUAGUAAUCGCGGAUCAGCAUGCCGCGGUGAAUACGUUCCCGGGCCUU